rnacentral:rRNA from 1 species
CGGGGUGCACGAGGCGUCGAAUACUUUGCAAUACUCGAAAGCUUGAUCGGGCUGUCCCGAGUGCCAUCCGCUGAGGAAGGCUUUUACCCAGUCUAUAACGCUGGGGGAAUAAGGAGAGGGCAAGUCUGGUGUCAGCCGCCGCGGUAAUACCAGCUCUCCCAGUGGUGUGGAUGUUUAUUGGGCCUAACGCAUCCGUACCUGGCUAAGUUCGUCCCCUGUUAAGUCCACCGAAUUAAUCUUUGGAUUGCGGGGGAUACUGCUUGGCUAGGGGACCAGAGAGGCACACGGUAUUUCCGGGGUAGGGGUGAAAUCCUAUAUAUCCCGGGAAGACCUCCAGUGGCGAAUGCUGUCUGCUAUAACGCACCCUACGGUCAGGGAUGAAUCCUGGGGGAUCGAACAGGAUUAAAUACCCCGGUAGUCGCAGCUGUACAUGAUCACUCACUAUGUGUUUGAACGGUCACGAGCGGUUCUAAUGCCGCAUGAAAGCUGUUAACUCUGCCACCAGGUGAUUACCAUUUCUGUAU